GCCGGAUCUGGCCAAGCCUCCUGCCAGUCGAGGCCCUUUACCUUCCAGUCACACCAAGAACUAAAACAGGAUCAGCCAAAGGUUUUGAAGAAACCCAAACUGGACAGACAGUUACUGAAUUUUUGUAAUGUCCGAGGCUUCCAGGAGGAGUGACACAUAUCUCUGCUGGAUGAGCUCACAGUUCCAAUGAGAAGAUACAAGCUGAAAGAUUGCAGCAGAACUGGGAAGUGAAAGCACGGAGAGGCUGUGGGACAUGGAGGAGGGGCGGUAAGAUUGAGAAAGAGGUAACAGUUGGGGUGACUUUGGACCUGAGAC
rnacentral:lncRNA from 1 species